UACGUAGGGGGCAAGCGUUGUUCGGAAUUACUGGGCGUAAAGGGCGCGUAGGCGGCCCGGCAAGUCGGGAGUGAAAGCCCGGGGCUCAACCCCGGAGGGUCUCUCGAAACUGCCGAGCUAGAGUGCGGAAGAGGCAAUCGGAAUUCCCAGUGUAGCGGUGAAAUGCGUAGAUAUCAGGAGGAAUACCGAUGGCGAAGGCAGGUCUCUGGGCUAUAACUGACGCUCAUGCACGAAAGCGUGGGGAGCAAACAGG
rnacentral:rRNA from 1 species